UAGGGAAUCUUCGGCAAUGGACGAAAGUCUGCCCGCGCAACGCCGCGUGAGUGAAGAAGGUUUUCGGUUCGUAAAACUCUGUUGUUAGAGAAGAACAAGGACGUUAGUAACUGAACGUCCCCUGACGGUAUCUAACCAGAAAGCCACGGCUAACUACGUGCCAGCAGCCGCGGUAAUACGUAGGUGGCAAGCGUUGUCCGGCUUUAUUGGGCGUAAAGCGAGCGCAGGCGGUUUCUUAAGUCUGAUGUGAAAGCCCCCGGCUCAACCGGGGAGGGUCAUUGGAAACUGGGAGACUUGAGAGAAGCAGAGGAGAGUGGAAUUCCAUGUGUGGCGGUGAAAUGCGUAGAUAUAUGGAGGAACGCAAGUGGCGAAGGCGGCUCUCUGGUCUGUAAAGGACUAUGAGGCUCGAAAGCGUGGGGAGCAAACAGG
rnacentral:rRNA from 1 species